rnacentral:SRP_RNA from 1 species
AUGCGGGCUAGGCCGGGAAGGUAGCAGUCUCCUGCCUCACAAACCUGCUUUAGGUGAGGCCGAAGCUUGAAGGGCGGCUUUUCGUUUAAAAGCCGGUCUUGGACUGGACGAAGAAGUCCUGUCCUGUUGGGUGCCUGUAAUAGGAACGGGUGAGGCGGGGAACCGAGCAGCCAUAACUAGUAUUGGUCAUGCUUUCAGGAGUGCGGGAUUGAGAAAAGCUCAAGAGCAACCGGAAUUUGAAUGAAAAAUCCACCUUCUUGCAUGCCCGCAC